rnacentral:rRNA from 1 species
CCCUCCAUCCGAACGGAAUGUGCAUAGUGCCGCGAGCGGAAAGAGGGAGGGAGGAAGUGGGCUGAACUGAGCAGCGGCCGAAAGGGGCGGUCUAGAGCGAAAGGGGAGUUGGGGGUGGAUUGGCGGCCGCCGGCGGUACUACCGGCGGCUCAGGGGCCGCUGCCGCUUGGUGGGGCGGCUGGUUGUGGAGCUCUGGGAGCGGGAGCUAAGGGGUAGACGGCGUAGCCGGCGACGAAGAUGGCUGGGUGACGAGGUGGGAGGAGGGAGGGGGAGCGGGGGGAGGCGAGCGCGGCGCCGGCGCUUGCCGCUGGGCAAGCAGCUUCUCUUGCCACUCCUACUUAGGGGAGGCUAGGAGGGGUGGGGGCUGAGGGGCCAGCAAAGGGCGCUCGGCAGUGGCAACAGGAUGGUCUAGUGGCAGUGGCUGGGGUUCUUCGUGCUACUCCGGCGGUGGCCUCGCCGCCCGCAGUAGGGACCGAGGCCGUCGAUGAAGAGGAUGGAGCAGUGGUGGGCCCGGCGGCUGCCGUCGCUCAAGGCGCACGCCGCCGCGAAGGCGCUGCACCACUGGGAGCGGCUGGCGGAGCGCCGGUGGGUGGCGCCGGAGAAGCAGGGCCGCGCGGGGCUGUUCUCGUAGCACCUUCCCGUCCAGUACGUCGCCGUACUUAAGCACUUGGUCGCGACGCAGCGCCAGGUCGCGAUGGAGACGGCGUAGCGGCGCGUGGGGUGGCAGUCGGCCUCGCUGCUGAAGGUAUGGAAGGAGUGACUAGGAUCGCCAUAAGGCUGGAGGCUCCCACUCAGAGGGUCCAAGUUGGGGCGCUAAUGACGGCGGAGCGGCUGCCGACAAUGAUGUGGUUGCUGCGGAUGUUUCCCGCCCGCUCUGAAAAAACCAUACAAGUUCCUGGACUUCGUCUGCCAGCGCUUACCCAACUACCGCCACUCCGGCGGAGGUCACCUCCUCCUCUGACUGCGUUUCAAGGAGAAGGUGUUCCGGUUCGAGCUCGUUAACCUCGUCGUUGAGCGUCGCUGUAGAGUCGUCCGUCUCCGCAAACGAUUUCGAGUACUCCUAAAAUCUUGUUGAUGUCGAGUGAACCCUUACUGUAAGCAAUUCGACCGCUUUAAACUUUUCCUGGUUAGAUGUACGUCAAGAGUGUCUUGAGCUCGACAAUUAUAAUUGUUAAAACGUUUACGACAACAGUUUCAGUCGUCCAGAGUCUGUUUUGACCUACGACUUUAACACUUUGUAGACCUGUGAUAGGUAUUUAUGGACCUCUGCUACUGAAGACAGGUGUUACGUAAAUGACUAGCGAGAUUACGAAACGAGGUAUAGGUUUCAGAUAGUAGUCUGAAUAAACGAAACGUGUUGGCCCACCGCUUUGAACUUAGACACAGUAGUUCUCCUUAUCUAGUCCUCUCCUGCUCCAUAGUCUUCCAACUUCUUGACUUUCUUUGUUAUUCUUGUAGUCUUCUGCGCUUUUCAGUACGUGCGUUUCUCAUACUUGAAUAGUUCCUUUUGUUGUACUUACUUUAAUUCUCUAAAUUAUUUCUCUAUGCGGUCCUAAACCACCUCUACUACUUUCCGAAACAUUGUUCAGUCCAACGUGUCAGUCUGUUAUAACGAUCAUAUACCCGUUUCAAUCGUCUUCUGUGUUUCCCUAUGCGCCUGUCCUCGUCGACUUCAUCCUACAUUUAUAUCCACACUUAAAACUCGGUGAGUAGACUUCGUAGUUGUAACCAAUGGUGUAACUCUAAGCACAGUAGUGAGCGAGCCACUAAAUCCGCUAUACACGUCUCUGUCAAAGGUGAGGGGUUCCCCGUAACUCUAACCAGUUCCUAAAAGAACCUCCAUCGAUAGAGGCCUACACAUGGACUUUUAAACAGUCCUUUCUAUCUUGUUUAGGACCUGGCGUUUUGGCUGUGUAGACGAAAGGGGGGUCAAAAAGGGGUGGGACCCAAAUCGACAUUACGACUCAAAAGAGACAUGUUAAUGCGCCGUGAUCGACUGACCUCAAGGGACGAAGGACUCUCUUGGUAUAUCGUGUACUCUUUCUAAGAAAAGUCAUGAAUUCUUCACAACGUCCGAACGUAAACGAUAGAGCUCUACAUAAAAGGAAACAAAAGAAAGUCCUUUCCCUAACCCAAACUAUAAUACGACGCGUAGUGGUCCAAACACGCCUUCCACUCGGUGAGUAGAGGCUGCUCCGACUGACCAACCCUAUACGAGCGCCUCUGCGCUCGGUCACCAUACCAGCCGUCGAUCAUCGGUAAGGAUAGUGCGUUAGUCCGUGGUCCGUAUCCCCACUGGGAAACGCUCGAGGGACUCUGCGGCGCAUACGUACAAGUUCGAGGGCGGUGCUUUGGGCUUCUUGCUCUCGAUCAACGGUACUUUUUUUAAGGUGGGGCCGCUUAAGGCGGGUUUUUAGGCGACGACAGGGACAGAGACGGUUUGUUAAUACCAUGCUAGACGCCGCACCACGGAGAAACAGGCGAUGAACCUGCGUUACAGCUGGUCGAAGUUCGUGAAGUUUGCGCACCACUCUUUACGAAGGUUCAAGAACUAAAAAUGACCCGUACAGAACCUCUCCACUCUUCUUCCGCAUGCAUCGAGACGACACGUUUGUCAACAUGUCAACAUGACGGCACGACAUCAUGGUCGUUCCCUAUCAAUCGGUUGCCGGUGUCCGAUGAGGCAGAGAACAACGGAGCGAGGUGAAGGGGGGACCGGCGGCCGCGCGGAGGCCGCUGCAGAGGCGGGCCCCUCUUACGACGGGGUGCGCGGGAGGGCAAUGGGCCCGCGGCGGUUCAAGUUUGGGGAGCAGGGGCGGUUUGGCGGUGAGAGAGGGCGCAGGAGGAGGAGGAGGGCGCCCUUGGAGACGCGGCGGCGGCGGAGGGCGGCGCUGAAGGAGGACGAGCAGGGCAGGGACCGGCGUCGCAGGUGCCGGGAGGUCAUGGAGGGGGAGCGCCGGAGGCGGCGCCUGCUACUCUUCGGCCGGGGUUGUGGCGGCGGUCGAGGCCGGGGUCGUGGCCGAGGCCUCGGGCUGCCCCUCCGCCGCGACAGCUCCUACAUGCUGCGGUGCCAGUAGCCGCUCGGCGUCCGGCACCCCUUCCUGCGCGCGCCCUCCCACACCCUCUUCGAGUACCGGCGCGCCCAGCAGAUGGAGCCCCUCCGGCUCGAGCACGGGCUGGCGCUGCUGGCCCACGAGCUCGAGCUCUAGCAGUCCUUCGACCGGCGAGCGACGCGCCUGCGGCCCUCCUGGGAGAGGGAGAGCGAGCUCCGGAAGGGGACGCUGGAGGUCCUCGUCGAGUUGGUCAAGUACCUACCCUCUUAAUUGCCGUUGUUGAAUUCCAACAUGUGUAGAGUGACCCGUGGCCUCGCGACCGUCCUCAUACUUGGAGAAAAUUUGAUGACGGCACUAUUACCUUAGUUCGAAUAACGUACACCUUGAGGUGAACUCCACCAUUCUUGACAGGUUCGUCUUCCUUAGUUUCCGGAGAGUUUUCUCGUCUCCUUCAGCAUACGAGGAGGUCGACCGAGUCCGAAGUAAAGACCGAAAUGUAGGUAGAGUCCGGCUAGUAACUAUCUGUUCUGAAGUAGGAGAGCACAGAGAGGAAAACCGGGAUCGAGUAUAGAUAGACGUGUCCGUUCUCAUCAACUACUAAUAUGGUACAGGGUUUAUUAUUACUUCCUUUAAUCAUGACCUCUGGGAAGUCCCUACGAGCAACAACAUUGACCACGUUCGGUACAAUACAUACCCAGUGCUCCCUAACCACAAGGACGGUCUUAUAGAUUUUUCUACGUUUUCUUUUUCGUUCAACACUAGGAAGAACUAGGACUCUCCGUUCCAUAUUCCGCUCUUCCACUUUAGGGGCAUCGCCUAAAUAACACCAUAAGACGACGGUUCGGUACGUCAGCUUUAACGAAACUGGCACGACUUUAGCGAUCUCAAUACUUACGUCGACCAUCCUCCGCACUUCGAGACGGGGUCCUAUAAGUCUUUCCUUAUCUAGAACCACAUCAAAGAGGACUCUAUAACGUCUUGAAAAAACUGGAACUCUUUAUAGGACAGCACCUACUUAACUAAGUGGCUAAGGUUCCAAAGGCACUUUCCAAUGACCGUCUAGGGGUUAAGAACUUAUCUAAUCGAUAGCUUCUCCCAUAUAGUUAUUGAUGUCGACAGAAUCGUGUUAUACUUUUUGCCUUUCCUGCCAAAAAACUUCUCUAGCUGAUACAGGAAUGACUAUGUUAAUCUCCAAGACAACAACUGAAAAAAUGUCAGACCGAAGGACGAGGAUGAUAAAGCGAGAAUAGAUAACGACUGUUACCAAGACCACUCUCGAACCUCGAACAAUCUCCUAACAAUCCCAGUGACGGUCUAUUACGUAAAGUUUUCCCAUAGCACCCGGUCUUAACCCUGUAAUUGGUCUCUAAACGUAGUCAUGAUCACCCACCAGACUUUGAACGACCACAACCUAAACAAAGGUCAUAACCUCGACCUCAACGAAGCCUGCAAAACAUACGACGAGCAGCUCAAAACUCAGGAUGUUCAUAUCUCCGUCUUGCGGGUUCUCGAGGGUAAACCUUUCGUCGAAGACACAUAUCACCGAAGGAACCUUGUAGUCGUUUAGACGCCAUAGUCCAGUAACGACCAGACCACCUCGUAGCCGAACCUCUCAUAGAACACAGUAUGAUAUUGGUCGGUAAAGAACGAUUACACGACAGGAAACAACGUGCCUAUUAGUUAAGUAUGAAACCUUGUGUCGUUACCUAACUAGAACGCGCUAGAUGUCCGUAGGUUUGAUCACUCCUUCUCGGUGGAAGAGGACUGUGAGGGUAGAGUAGUCUUUAUGGUCACAACCUUACACCGUGCCGUCUUCAUGUUUCAUGUCUGCUAUAAUUAUUCUUGGUUAGUCCACUCGUCUGUAUCGGUUUUCCAAUAACCGACACCCGUAGGUUGAGUUCCUUGUCAUAGAUGUCAUGUCCGUAUAUCUGUGUUCCAGAACCAUGUCGUUCUGACUUAGGGUUGGUGUAACGUAACAAAAAGCCCUUCCUCUUGUACUUUAAAACUUCUCGUCUCAAAAAUAAACUCGUAAGAUAAGAACGCCGAUUUUCCUGAAGAAGAUGUGUAAAGAUCUCAUUUAUAUGAUAUACAUGUAGUUGUCCUUUGUCAGUCUAAAACUUUGUGUGUGCAUGUGUGGUAAAUCUGAGAACUAUAGUAGAACCUAACGUAAACCGUUGUCUUCAACUCAAAGGUACUCUUUAGGUGGGGGGUGGGGGGUCGGUACUCAACAUAAACUAGUUUUACUCAACUUAAGUUCAUGUUAAAUAUGGUAUUGACCUUGACCACCUUUAACCUGACAUACUGACAUAGAGGUAAAAAAACACAAACCACGGUAGACAUUGACAGCUAUGAACAAAUGUGGUCACUGAUCACUCCUUAGGUCAGGAAAGCUAUACAGCAUUAGCACGUUAAUUAGCUUGUUUAGAUCGGGCGACAACGGACAACGAUAACGGUCUCCUUAGGUCAUGGUUCAGUGCCGGUAGGUUGCGCCGCUAUAAGUAGAAGAAAAUUCCUGGGUUUAUACGCAGGAGUGGCUGGCUAGGGACCUGGUAGUUCCUUGCUUGUAUAGGCUUCAGAUCGUUGACUACGAUAAUACUCUCCGUUCGGACUUCACGGCUUCCUCCUGGCCUAGGCCUAAGACACAUUCCGACACCGUUUAACCGUUGCGUCUCUUUACAUCAACGUCUCAACGUUUUUUAUCUGUAAGGUCGACGUCGACUUUAUAGGUACACCAUCAUGAGACUUCGUAAACGAUGUUGCCAACACCAGACCGAGAACUAGACUUGGCAACCUGUGCCACCUCUGUACUGUAGG